UACGUAGGAGGCGAGCGUUGUCCGGAAUCACUGGGUGUAAAGCGCGUGUAGGCGGCCUGCCAAGUCUGCUGUGAAAGCGCCUGGCUUAACCGGGCGAGGUCGGUGGAAACUGGCGGGCUGGAGGCUGGUAGAGGGGGGUGGAAUUCCCGGUGUAGUGGUGAAAUGCGUAGAGAUGUGGAGGAACACCGAUGGCGAAGGCAGCCCCCUGGGCUGAGAUUGACGCUCAGGCACGAAAGCGUGGGGAGCAAACAGG
rnacentral:rRNA from 1 species